GUUUUCCUGGGGGAUUUCGGACGCUUCCUUGGCUUUCUUGGCAGGCUAGAGCGCGCGGGCGCGCUGUGGCAUGCGCCGUUCGGUAGUGGUGGGGGUGUG
rnacentral:tRNA from 1 species